UAAAAGUAAAAUAGAAUGGUGUUGAUGAUAUAGGUUGAGUAUAAUUAAUAGAAAUCAAAAAUUUUUAAUUGUAAGAAAUCAAGGAAUGUUAUGGUACAUAGUGGAUUAAAAGAAAAGAAAAUGCGCCUAAACGAAUUCUACUCGAGUUAAGAAAUGAAUUCGAGGGGGUUCUAUUUAGGUUUUGAAAUCAAAAUAAAAAUAAUAUAAAAAUAGUUGAAUGAAAUCAAAAUUGAAUGUGUUUGGUUGAAUGGUGAGAAAAAAAAAAAAGAAAAAUGCCUAACCAUAUUCUAGCUCGAAAUUGGGAAUGAAAUCGAAGGAAUUCUAUUAGGUCUUUUGAGAAAUCAAAAAUAAAAAAAUAAAAAGUUGGAAGAAAUCAAAGUGAAUGCUUGGUGCGUGGUGAGAAAAAAAGGAAAAAUGCCUAAUUACUUUUUUGCUUGAAUUUUGGAAAGGAAUUCGAGGAAAUUUCAUAAGGUCUUUUGAGAAAUCAAAGUAAAAUAAAAAUAAAAAGUUGGAAGAAAUCAAAGUGAAUGCUUGGUGCGUGGUGAGAAAAAAAAGGAAAAAUGCCUAAUUACUUUUUUGCUUGAAUUUUGGAAAGGAAUUCGAGGAAAUUUCAUAAGGUCUUUUGAGAAAUCAAAGUAAAAUAAAAAUAAAAAGUUGGAAGAAAUCAAAGUGAAUGCUUGGUGCGUGGUGAGAAAAAAAAGGAAAAAUGCCUAAUUAUAUUCUAGCUCGGAAUUGGGAAUGGAGACCGAGGGAAUUCUAUUAGGUCUUUUGAGAAAUCAAAAAUAAAAAUAAAAUAAAAGUUUUUUGAGCGAAAUCAAAGUAGAGUGCUUGGAAAAAGGAAAAAUGAAAAAUAAAAAGAUUUCAACAACAAAGGGUGAUUUAAUGUUUUUAGUUUAAUCGAAAGUCAGUGAGUUUUCGUUGAUAAUUGAGUUGUGGUAAUAUAAAUCAAGUGGUAAGUAGAAUGAUAAUUGAUAAAUGAAAAUGAUAAUAUAACUAAUUGGAAAAAAAAAUGAUAAUUAAUGAUUAAAAGUGGUAAUAAGUUGAAUAAAUUGAUAAAUUGAUUAAAUAUUUAAAUUUUAAUUGAGAGAAAAUAAUGAAAAUGAUUGAUAUGAAAAAUAAGGUGUAUUGGUUGGAACCCUUUGGUAUCUACAUGCCCUGAUCUACAUGUAUUGAUUGCUCCAUUUUGCCCUAUAAAUGUUUUACUUGCUCAAUUAUGCCCUAUAAAUUUUUUGUCUCAUCUGUAGUGACACUUAGGUGAAAAACGUGAUUCUAGCCCUUAAGUGCGUUUAUGCUGUGUACAGGAGACAUGGAAAUCUAUAUAACCUUUACGUGUAAUUUUUUGUCUUUGUGUGUGUGUUGUGAAAAAAUGUUAGAAGUCGGUUGUGUAAGAGAUGUGUGAGCUAGUUCUAGGUGUUGUUUCGUGGAUGUGUAAUUGGUUGGUAAAAAUCGAUAUGUAGACUCGAACUGGAAUCAAAACCGGUGGUAUAGUGAGGUUCCCAGUCGACCUCAAUAGGGGAUCUUCUCAUUGUAAUUAGAGAUACGGAAGUGGGGUGUGUCGGGCAAACGAGAGGGAGGGAAAUUGGAGAUCGGACGAAGGCGCUCCGCUUUGUUUACAGAGGCCGAAUUUAACCUCCGUGGACUAUACUUCCUGUCGUGGUGUUUCAAAUCUCAUUUCCUGCCGUCUAUUUAUUUUUGGUGCGGCUCAGGGCUUGUUUUUGGAGCGUGAUUUCUCCGACACUGGUUGGUUAUCUUUUCAGUUACUGCUAUCUCUUCGGAGUUUAUUUAGAUUUUCUGCGAAGAUGGUUCCUAAAAUUAUGAGAAGUUUUAUAAAUACUUGUCCACAAUGAAGAAUUGCUUGUCCACAAUGAAGAAUUGCUUGUCCACAAUGAAAAACUGUUUGUCCAAAAUUAAAAAAUGCUUGUCCUAAAUUAAAAACUACCUCUUGUAGUUCGAAGAUUUUCUGAUCGGGCAUAGCAUAGAUAAACAAGUAAUUGAUGACUAAAAUUGGGAUACAGUUGUAUGGCAGAAGUAACAAACAAAGGAUAAGAAUCAGAUGAAAUAUAGGAUAUUGCCCCAUGUUCGUCCACAUUUUUGUAACUGGGGACUCUGAAAUAUUCGCUUGAACCUUAUGAAUUGUAGAGUUUGAAUGAUUGGUAGGUUCGCAGUUCUCCUGUUUGAUAUCUUUAGGGAGUGGUGUGAUAUGAUUGAGCUGGUUGUCAGGUUUGCAGUUUUUAACGUCGGGGAAGAGUGAUGUAAAUCGUCUUGUUGCAAAAAUGGCAGGGUCUAAAUGCCUGAAAGGUUCGCUGCUGGUGGGUUUGAACCUUAAUGACUCUGUUGGGAAUAAUUCGGGUGUUAAAUGUUUGAAAGGGAACGUGUAAUUGGGGUUGUGCUUUAUAUGAUAGGUGUUAACGGCGGGUGGUGAUAUAUAAUGGAUUUUUUCCGUAUACAGUUUAAGUUUGUUGACGUGGAUUGUGUCAGUGUCUCUUUGAAGUGGUUGAUUUGGUCGAACUAUGCGGACCACAUUUGGUGAAAUAAUUUCUAAUAUUGUGUGAGGUCCUGUGAAAUAUGGCGCAAGUUUCCCUGUAUUUGGGUGGUGAUAUAAUUUUACUAACACUAGAUCACCUACUUCGAAAUGUGGUUGCUUGUGUCGUUGGUCAUAAGUGUUUUUGUCUUGUAAAUGUUUGUUUUGUGUGCGUGUGUGUGCAAUUUUUCUAGCUUUGUCGAUAUCUGGGUAUGGUGUGUUAUGAUUAGAGAUUUCUGGGGGUAGGAUACCAAACAUUAAGUAUAUGGGUGGAAAACCUGUGGUAGAGUGGGGUGUCUUGUUAUAUAUAAGUGUAACCUUCUUGACCAACUUGGUCCAUGCGACCUUAGGAUUUUCUAGGUGUAAUAACCUAAGUUUUCCCGUGAGGGUGGCGUUCAGGCGUUCACAUAGGCCGUUGGCUUGUGGGUUGUUGCUGGUUGUGAUUAACGGGUGAAUAUUUCUAUUAAGGAGAAAACUACGAAAUUUGGGUGAAGUGAAGGCAGGGGCUCUAUCCGUAAGAAGGCGUUUUGGAGAACCAUCCUGGAAUACUCGCUUAAGUACCUGUUGGUAGGUGGUGGUACUGGUGGAUUUAGAUGGAAAAGCCCAUGCGUAGCGUGAAAAAUGAUCGACUACCACAUGGAGGUAUAUCUUGGUGUUGCCAUAUUUGGCAAAUCCUGCUAUGGUGUCCAGAGAUAAAAGGUCGAAGGGUUCUUUAGAUUCCGGAGGUUGACUUAAUUCUCCGUAAGUGGGUCCUACUGGACGUUUUGUUAAUUGGCAGGUGGGACAGGUUUUAACUUUUUGUUUAAUAUCUUUUGACAUACCUUGCCAGUAAUAUUGUGUGGAGAUGAUUCGUGACAUUUGUGACAUACCGGGGUGAUUGUAUUGUGUGUGUACUGUUUGUAAGAGUUGUUGUAUGAGUGGUUUUGGAAGUAUAAUCUUGGUUACACCUUUUCGGGAAACUGUAUGUAAUCCAUUACGAUCAAUGGUCAAACUAGACUCUUUCGAUGGAGGAGGUUGAUGGGUCUUGAUAAGGGUGGCGUCCAAGAAUCCACAAAACGGGUUACGGGAUAAGAGAUCUGCUUCAUAUUGUAGUUUUCCCUUUAUGUAGCGGACCUCGUAUUCGUAACUCGAUAGUCGUAAACUCCAUCGAAACAGUCUGCCGGACGGGUUUUUGAUGGUUUUCAGCCACUGCAAUGCGUGAUGGUCAGAGAAUAUAGUAAAUUUUCUGCCCAUAAGAUAGAUGCGAAACUUCUCCACACUCUCAACGAUUGCUAAGCACUCAAGUUCAGAGAUGGAGUAGUUUUUCUCGUGUGGGCGCAAUGUUCGGCUGAAAUAUUGAACUGGGUAUACGUUUCCGUCAGGGUGAACUUGUUUGAGAAUGCCUGCUAUACCGAGGGUGGAUGCAUCGCAAUACACUUGGCAUGGCAGACCUUCUUUGUAAAGGUGUAAAAUGGGGUGUUGUGUGAGGUUUCCUUUUAGGUCAAUGAACGCCUCUUGACAAGCUUCAUUCCAGUUCCACACGACGUCCUUUUUGAGGAGAUUGUUGAGUGGUGCUCGCAAGCGAGCGUAUUCCGGAAUGAAUUUGUUAUAGACGUUCACAGCGCCUAAGAAGGAUUGUAGUGUUUUUCGGUUGUGUGGUUGUUUAAUGGCGUGGAUGAUGUCGGUAUUGCGUGUAAGUGGUGUAAUUGUACCAGCUGUGAUGGUGUACCCUAGAAAAUUUAUGGAUUGCUUAAAAAAUUCGCAUUUUGCGAAGUUAAGUUGUAACUUCUCCGCUUCGCAAAAGGCGAAAAAUUGUCGCAGGUGGUUUUGAUGUUCCUCCAAUGUGUUGGAGUAAAUGAUGAAAUCAUCAAAGUAAUGUGCCACACAGUCAAGUCCGUGUCUUUGUAGGACCUGACUUAUGGCUCGUUCGUAAAUCUGAGGACUGGUUUUUAACCCGAAAGGUAAUCGAGUGGGUUGGUAUAAUCCUUCAAAGGUGGCAAAUGCUAACAGUGGUCGAGAAUCGGGGUGUAUUGGGACUUGCCAAUACGCAGAGGAUAUGUCGGCCGUGGAAAAAUAUUUGGCCUGUGCGAGGCGGUCUAGGAUAUCCUCGAUUUUCGGGAGGGGAUGGACAUCAGAGCUGAUUAGCUCAUUCACCUUCCUAUAAUCGAUACAAAACCGUUUGGUUUUGUCGCGCUUAGUGACGAGGGUGACAGGGCUCGAGAAAGGUGAAAAAGAUUGCUCUAUGAUGCCGUUCUCCAGCAUUUGUUGUAUUUGGUUACGGAUUUCUUGUUGGUCACAUAUCGGAACACGAUAUGGACGUAUGGUGAUUAUUUUUUCGGAAUUCGUGGGUAUUUUUACUGGUGGAAUCCGUAAGCAUGGUACGUUGAAUUUGUCCUGUGAAAAAAUGUGAGUGUACCUUUGUAGAAGUGUUGUGAACUGUGGUGUAUAAUGAGUGUUAGGUGUUGUGUUGUAGUAUGUAUGUGGUAAAGGGUUUUGUUGUGUAUUAGUGUGAGUGUCGAGUUCGUUGUGUGGGUUGGUCAUGUGAGUGUUGUGCAACGGUGUGUGAUCACCUAUGUUUUUGGUAUGCGAGUUGUCCCGCUGUGUGGGUGCGUUUUGGGCAGGUUCAUAAGUUGAAGUUGUUGUGGUUUGAUUAUUUGAGGGCAUGUAAAAAGGGCAAUUGGCUUUAGUGAAAAAGGGGCAUGUAGAUAAGUGGGGUUUUCUCAAUGAAUGCACGCAAUGGUUGUCAUAGGCGGAAAGUUGGGAUGUGGGGAAAAUUUUUUGUGACAUCGCCUGACACUGCCAGUACGUGCAUACAUUGGACACAUGAUUAAAAUGGUAGGAAAGGGUAGACAAUGGGGCGCCCAGCUGGAGUAUAGUGCAUUUAUUAAAAUCUAUGGUUAAUCUGAAUUUAUGGAGGCUAUUGAUACUAAGAAUUCCGAAUGGCAAUGGUGCAUUCACUACAUGGAAAUACUCCUUUCGUGAUAUUUGUCCUAUUGUCAGUGGGAUAGAUAGUUUACCCAUGGUUUUUGCAAAUCCGUUUAGGGUUUGGAGGUGUAGUGAGUGUCCCUCAAGGGUUAAAUUAGGCAGGUGGGUUUUUAGCAUAUGAUAAAUAUUAUAUGGCACUAUACUCAGGCUGGCGCCUGUAUCAAUUAAAAAGGGGCAUGAUACAUUAGGGGCUAGAUAGAGUUUGACAGUCAGUUGGUUUAGGGAUCCUACCUCAGUCUCGAAAGGGCUGCCCGGCUGAGGUGUCUCUGGCUUGACUUGGUUGUGAUGAAGUCGGAACUGGUGAUUUUGGGAUCGUUUGCACUGUCCGGACUUUUUCGUGGGUCGUCGGGAUUGGUCGACGUCGGCAUUCGCUGUGCCAGUGUCUCGCGCCGCAGAACUUGCAAUUGGACGGCGGAAGAGGUGCAUUCCAUGCACCUGGGCGUCGGGGUGUGCUGUGGUACGGACCCGACAUUGUGGGUGGUUGAUCUUCUCUGGAUCGCGUUGCCGGUACACUGGGCCCGUGGAUCCGCUGUACCAGGCGGAACCACUCUCCUAGGUUCUCGGGAGGCACUACGCGGACUAGGCGCUGGUCGUUGAAUGGCAGUCCUUCUGUCAGCGUCUCGAGGAUCACCUCUUGUGGAAGUCCUAGUUGCAAUCCCAUGGCGGUUUUUUCCCGGUAGUAGGUCUCUAAGUUGGCUUGUCCAGUGAGUUUCAUGGCGAAAUAUUUCGCAAAGGACGCUUCGCUUGACUCAGGGUAGAGAUCUAGGAGGAUUUGUCUCACCUGGAAAUAACUCCGGUCGGCCAGCCGAAGUUUCCUGAAGAGUUCCAGGGGUUGUCGCACCAGGUAGUUUGGUAGGCGCAGUAAUUUUUCUUGUUCUCCAUGGAUGCGUCUUCCAUUUUUCGGUCGAACGUCUGGAAAAACUGUGUCGUGCUGUAUGUGCCGUCGAAAGGCGAGAUUGCCGAUUCCGCUCCAUCAGAAAUUUUUGCCCGGGCCAGGAACAUUGACAGCUGGUUGACGGCGUCCGCUAGGGGCGCAGUUGUCUCUCGGUCGGUCAUCUCCUGUCUUUCUCUUGUCGUUUCGUUCUCUCUUACUUCUUGCCUUCUUUCCAUUGUUUCCGUCGGACUGUCUGACUUUACGCCUAUGGGAUCCUGAUUUAAUUCCAUCUCACUAUCCUGUCGACUUAACCGUUCUGUGGCAAUAUCGUUGCGGGGUUUCUUAUUGUUGGAUGCGAAUGGUGAGAUUUGGUUGAAGCGCAGCCGUUUGAGUGGAAGUUGCAGCAUACAGUUAGGAAUAAUCAGGACACGUGAUUGAGUUUGAAAAUAAAGGCAACGGGUUGGAGGAAAGAAAGUUUGAUAAGAGCUGAGCGAUUUGACUUAUUAAUUAACUGAUCACAUGGCGGUGAUUGUACUUAGCUGUGGGAUGAGCAGAGGGGGAGAGGUCUAGAGCCGAUGUCACCUCCUUGGGAGCCAAAGCGUAACUGACAUUUCUUGCUUUUCGAUUUAACACCAAGCUUCAGUUUCUCUCUGAUUGGUUGAGAUAUGAUCACAUGGUGUUUUCCUAUUGGUUGACCUACUUAGUGGUUCCUCCCUAAUUGGCCGGCGGCUCUCCUUGAUGAAAGAUGGCCUGCCUGGUAUAUCCGAUUUCGUCAGGAAGUAUUGGGUAUCUUGACGCUUAUAGCUUCGACGGAUAUUAGAUACGUCCUGUUUUUGCCGGAAGUAUUGAGUGCAUCUUGGCUAAAAUAACUUCUGCGGUCACUAGAGACGUCCGGUCUCUGCCCCUGCAAUGUUGACACAGGGGUGCCAAAAUAGUCGUGCCAGCUUUAGUCUUACUUCCUAUAUCUUUUGUUACUUUCUUUCCUCCAGUUACCUUGUUCUUUAUUAAGUCUUUGAAAAUCAUACAUGAUACAUACAUAGUGGGUCGGGGUUGCAUUUAAUUAUAUACAAAUUAUGACAUAUAUAUAUAUAUGUUACAUAAAGAUUUUAUUUAGGAAAUGUUAUAUUAAAAUCAUUUAUUUAAAAUGUUAUAUUGAAAUAUUUUAUUUUAAAAUGUUAUAUGUUAAAAUGUUAUUUUGUUUAAAGUUAUAAUUUCAUAGAUAUAAGUACUCUGUUUUAAUCGACCGCCAGAGGUCACGCUUCUACUAUAUAAACUGAUUGUUGUUCUUACCCGGCUGGCCGACCCAAAGUUUUUGUAAUUAUGUAAAUAAUCUUUUGUUUUAUUUAUUUAUACGCCGUAAGACAGGCAUUACUUUUAUCAAAUUGUUUUAUAUAUAUUCCAUGGGUUCACAAUUAAAACAAUAUCUGAUCAAGACUAUUUUUAUUAUUUUACUUACAAGAUUUUAACCACGACUGCACCACCAUAGCUUAAUCCUCAAGAUAACCAAAAUCAAGAUGAUCCAAUAUCAAGCAGAAACUCAAAAAUCUUUUUUUUAAAUUAAUAUAAUAUAUAUAGUAUAGAUUAAAGGGAAUAUGAAAUUCAUGUCCCAAAAGUGGUAGCUGUCCUUUUAAAAAGCAUUCAAAAAAUGUAUUUAUAUUUCACCCCAGUACAAAAGAUAUUGAAGGCGAUAAAGAAUGAGUAACAAAACUACUUUUAGCAAAUUUUCGAACGAUUUCAUAAUUCUCCUCAUAUGGUGUUAUGAAAUCGAAGCCGUCCCUGUACUAUGAGGGCAACGCUCAAAACCAUAGUAUACAGGUUGGCUUUUGUGUGAAUAUUUCGCCAAUGAAUAUUAUCCUCUUAUCAAAUCACAAUAUAUAUAGCUUUUAUAUUUAAUAUACAUCAUACAACUAAUUGAAUAAUUAAAAAGGUAUCUGGAGAUAGGUUUAUUUUUAUUUUAUUAAAGCCGUCUAAAGCUUUCGGGCAUCUUUGCCCUCCUACAUUAGUACAUAAAUAAACGAAUAAAACGCCACCUGAUGCCAUUCUUUUUAUUUAUUUUCGGCAACAUGAACUCAGUAGAAUUUAGUUUAAAUAUAUAAGGAUCAAAAGAUUACAUGAGGAGCUUCUUUUUAGAUUUAUUACGAGCUUUCGAACCUUCCGGUUCUUCUACAGGCACGGAUAGCAUGGAAAUGGUAACAAGAUUUAUACGCAUUUGAGCCAUUAUAUACAUACAUACAUAUUUAUAUAUGAAGCAAUAAUUUCAAAUAUAAAUUAAAAUUGAACUAGUUUAUAAAAUUAUGACUGUGAAAAUUAUCAAACUAUGCAAAUAACAUUUGAAAAUUUUGGUAAAAUUUGUGAAAAACAUUUAUGUACGCUAAUUCUUUUUAUUUUAUUAAGGCAUUCUCAAGCUUUCGGGCAUCUUUGCCCUUCUUUUGGAAAACUUAAAUAAACGAAGGCAUCAGGCGGCGGUUUAUUCGUUUAUUUAUGUUCUCCUG